AUUGAACGCUGGCGGCACGCCUAACACAUGCAAGUCGAACGAGUGGCGGACGGGUGAGUAAUGUCUGGGAAACUGCCUGAUGGAGGGGGAUAACUACUGGAAACGGUAGCUAAUACCGCAUACCAUCGGAUGUACCCAGAUGGGAUUAGCUAGUAGGUGGGGUAAAGGCUCAACUAGGCGACGAUCCCUAGCUGGUCUGAGAGGAUGACCGGCCACACUGGAACUGAGACACGGUCCAGACUCCUACGGGAGGCAGCAGGGGGGAAUAUUGCACAAUGGGCGCAAGCCGUAUGCAGCCAUGCCGCGUGGAUGAAGAAGGCCUUCGGGUUGUAAAGUACUUUCAGCGGGGAGGCGUUACCCGCAUAAGAAGCACCGGCUAACUCCGUGCCAGCAGCCGCGGUAAUUC
rnacentral:rRNA from 1 species